rnacentral:rRNA from 1 species
GGUUAAGCGACUAAGCGUACACGGUGGAUGCCCUGGCAGUCAGAGGCGAUGAAGGACGUGCUAAUCUGCGAUAAGCGUCGGUAAGGUGAUAUGAACCGUUAUAACCGGCGAUUUCCGAAUGGGGAAACCCAGUGUGAUUCGUCACACUAUCAUUAACUGAAUCCAUAGGUUAAUGAGGCGAACCGGGGGAACUGAAACAUCUAAGUACCCCGAGGAAAAGAAAUCAACCGAGAUUCCCCCAGUAGCGGCGAGCGAACGGGGAGCAGCCCAGAGCCUGAAUCAGUGUGUGUGUUAGUGGAAGCGUCUGGAAAGGCGUGCGAUACAGGGUGACAGCCCCGUACACAAAAAUGCACAUACUGUGAGCUCGAUGAGUAGGGCGGGACACGUGGUAUCCUGUCUGAAUAUGGGGGGACCAUCCUCCAAGGCUAAAUACUCCUGACUGACCGAUAGUGAACCAGUACCGUGAGGGAAAGGCGAAAAGAACCCCGGCGAGGGGAGUGAAAAAGAACCUGAAACCGUGUACGUACAAGCAGUGGGAGCACGCUUAGGCGUGUGACUGCGUACCUUUUGUAUAAUGGGUCAGCGACUUAUAUUCUGUAGCAAGGUUAACCGAAUAGGGGAGCCGAAGGGAAACCGAGUCUUAACUGGGCGUUAAGUUGCAGGGUAUAGACCCGAAACCCGGUGAUCUAGCCAUGGGCAGGUUGAAGGUUGGGUAACACUAACUGGAGGACCGAACCGACUAAUGUUGAAAAAUUAGCGGAUGACUUGUGGCUGGGGGUGAAAGGCCAAUCAAACCGGGAGAUAGCUGGUUCUCCCCGAAAGCUAUUUAGGUAGCGCCUCGUGAAUUCAUCUCCGGGGGUAGAGCACUGUUUCGGCAAGGGGGUCAUCCCGACUUACCAACCCGAUGCAAACUGCGAAUACCGGAGAAUGUUAUCACGGGAGACACACGGCGGGUGCUAACGUCCGUCGUGAAGAGGGAAACAACCCAGACCGCCAGCUAAGGUCCCAAAGUCAUGGUUAAGUGGGAAACGAUGUGGGAAGGCCCAGACAGCCAGGAUGUUGGCUUAGAAGCAGCCAUCAUUUAAAGAAAGCGUAAUAGCUCACUGGUCGAGUCGGCCUGCGCGGAAGAUGUAACGGGGCUAAACCAUGCACCGAAGCUGCGGCAGCGACGCUUAUGCGUUGUUGGGUAGGGGAGCGUUCUGUAAGCCUGUGAAGGUGUGCUGUGAGGUAUGCUGGAGGUAUCAGAAGUGCGAAUGCUGACAUAAGUAACGAUAAAGCGGGUGAAAAGCCCGCUCGCCGGAAGACCAAGGGUUCCUGUCCAACGUUAAUCGGGGCAGGGUGAGUCGACCCCUAAGGCGAGGCCGAAAGGCGUAGUCGAUGGGAAACAGGUUAAUAUUCCUGUACUUGGUGUUACUGCGAAGGGGGGACGGAGAAGGCUAUGUUGGCCGGGCGACGGUUGUCCCGGUUUAAGCGUGUAGGCUGGUUUUCCAGGCAAAUCCGGAAAAUCAAGGCCGAGGCGUGAUGACGAGGCACUACGGUGCUGAAGCAACAAAUGCCCUGCUUCCAGGAAAAGCCUCUAAGCAUCAGGUAACAUCAAAUCGUACCCCAAACCGACACAGGUGGUCAGGUAGAGAAUACCAAGGCGCUUGAGAGAACUCGGGUGAAGGAACUAGGCAAAAUGGUGCCGUAACUUCGGGAGAAGGCACGCUGAUACGUAGGUGAAGCGACUUGCUCGUGGAGCUGAAAUCAGUCGAAGAUACCAGCUGGCUGCAACUGUUUAUUAAAAACACAGCACUGUGCAAACACGAAAGUGGACGUAUACGGUGUGACGCCUGCCCGGUGCCGGAAGGUUAAUUGAUGGGGUUAGCGCAAGCGAAGCUCUUGAUCGAAGCCCCGGUAAACGGCGGCCGUAACUAUAACGGUCCUAAGGUAGCGAAAUUCCUUGUCGGGUAAGUUCCGACCUGCACGAAUGGCGUAAUGAUGGCCAGGCUGUCUCCACCCGAGACUCAGUGAAAUUGAACUCGCUGUGAAGAUGCAGUGUACCCGCGGCAAGACGGAAAGACCCCGUGAACCUUUACUAUAGCUUGACACUGAACAUUGAGCCUUGAUGUGUAGGAUAGGUGGGAGGCUUUGAAGUGUGGACGCCAGUCUGCAUGGAGCCGACCUUGAAAUACCACCCUUUAAUGUUUGAUGUUCUAACGUGGACCCGUGAUCCGGGUUGCGGACAGUGUCUGGUGGGUAGUUUGACUGGGGCGGUCUCCUCCUAAAGAGUAACGGAGGAGCACGAAGGUUGGCUAAUCCUGGUCGGACAUCAGGAGGUUAGUGCAAUGGCAUAAGCCAGCUUGACUGCGAGCGUGACGGCGCGAGCAGGUGCGAAAGCAGGUCAUAGUGAUCCG